rnacentral:tRNA from 1 species
GGUGGUGUAGCUCAGUGGUAGAGCACAUAUUUACCAUACAUGAGGCCCAGCAUUUGAUCCCCAGCACCACCA